rnacentral:rRNA from 1 species
UACGAAGGGGGGCUAGCGUUGCUCGGAUUGACUGGGCGUAAAGGGCGCGUAGGCGGUUUGCAUAGUCAGACGUGAAAUUCCUGGGCUUAACCUGGGGGCUGCGUUUGAUACAUGCAGGCUUGAGUUCGGAAGAGGGUCGUGGAAUUCCCAGUGUAGAGGUGAAAUUCGUAGAUAUUGGGAAGAACACCGGUGGCGAAGGCGGCGACCUGGUCCGAUACUGACGCUGAGGCGCGAAAGCGUGGGGGAGCAAACAGG